rnacentral:rRNA from 1 species
CAGCAGCCGCGGUAAUACGAAGGUCCCAAGCGUUGUUCGGAAUCACUGGGCGUAAAGGGAGCGUAGGCGGCGUGGUAAGUCAGAUGUGAAAUCCCGGGGCUCAACCCCGGAACUGCAUCCGAUACUGCCAUGCUUGAGGGUUGGAGAGGUGACUGGAAUUCUCGGUGUAGCAGUGAAAUGCGUGGAUAUCGAGAGGAACACUCGUGGCGAAGGCGAGUCACUGGACAACAUCUGACGCUGAGGCUCGAAGGCUAGGGUAGCGAAAGGGAUUAGAUACCCCCGUAGUCCCUGUCUCUUAUAC